UUCUUAUCGAGAGAGGUGGAGGGACUGGCCCUUUGAAGCCUCGGCAACAACUAUUUUAGAACUGUGCCAAUUCCAGCAAGCUUACAAGCUUGAUAGAUAAGGA
rnacentral:ncRNA from 2 species